AUCCAUAACACCUGUGAACUAUUUGCCUUCGGGCACCAAACCAAACAUAAUGUAAUGAAUGUAAUCUACUAUAAUAAAUAUAACUUUCAACAACGGAUCUCUUGGCUCUCACAUCGAUGAAGAACGCAGCGAAAUGCGAUAAGUAAUGUGAAUUGCAGAAUUCAGUGAAUCAUCGAAUCUUUGAACGCAGAUUGCGCCCUUUGGUAUUCCGAAGGGCAUGCCUGUUUGAGUGUCUUAUAAACCUCACCUCUAUAGUUUUCUAUAGUUGUGCUUUGGGUGUUGCCGUUUACUCUGGCUCGCCUUAAAUGUCUAAGUGGAAUGCGUAAUAAGUUCUCGCAACCCUCCACUCUAACACACUUUAUAUUC
rnacentral:misc_RNA from 1 species